rnacentral:misc_RNA from 1 species
UGAUCAAAAAUGCAGACAUGUCGG